rnacentral:lncRNA from 1 species
UUCUCUUAUCAAAGUGGCUUCUUGGUCAUAGUGUCUGGAUAGUACCUUGCCCAAAACCCCCAUUGGGUUUCACGUGCACUUUAAGAAGGGAUGUCCUAUGUUGAGAUGGAGAUGGGAAUGGAGAUGGGAAUGGGGCAGGGCCAGUUUCUUAUGUGUAAGAGAAAAACUAGAAUUGUUGACUGUUCUGUAGACUUACCUAACUCUACACAAAUAACUUGCUGAAACUUGGCAGGAAAGGAAAUCACAUUAACUUUUCUAUCCCUCCUUAUUUGGUAAAUAAUUUUGUAAUCUAUUAGAAGUGCUGCUGCUGCCAGUCUUCCCUGGCACAUUUUCCCAUGCUAUAGCCACACCUUUUUAAAUGUCAGUACUCCCCCCAACCCCCACUCCGCUAUCCGGUAAUUUCACCAUUCUGGUUUACUACCUGGAUAGCACAACUGUAUUCUUAUAAGUAAUUAGGUUUAUCUAAAUGUGACAAUUUCUAAGUAACCUUCAUCUGCUGGCUACUAAUUUGGAACAUAAUUUUCUUUGCUAUUUCUAUCCAUUUAGAAGCUUAGGGGCCGUGAGUUUCAAUGUGAAGAGUAUAAAUUCCAGCUAAGAGUUUGUAAAUUGUCUUAUCUUAGAAUCUCACUUCAAUUUUAAAGUAGUAACUAAGUUCCAGGAAGCACCUAAUCAGAACAUGUCUUGGAUUUUAAGAUGUGUUUAUUUGGGAUACUUUAUUUUCCCUAUGCAUAAAAGAAAAAUAUUGCUGGAAUAGUUCUCCAACUACUGUUUUUAGAUGAGAGCUGAAGCAGAAGCUCCAAGACUAGCAAUCAAAGUAACUCUUGAGGUAAUUAGGAUCAUGCUGUUAGUCAAAGAGAACUGGGAGUGCGCUGUCACAUAAUAAUGUACUGCACAUGCCAAUGAGGUGCACAAAGAUCUGCAAUGGUGACGCUGAGAACACAAGUGAAGUGAAGUUUGUGUAUGGAGAGUAUGGCAGGUCCUGAGAGCUUCAAGCUUCAGGAGUGUUAGAACUAUAGUUCAUAGUUGUUUAAAUAUAAUAUUUCUUGUGACAACCAAAAUAUGUUGUGGCUGGUGCCAAUAUUUUCGUUAAUGAAAUGUUGAAUGUCGCAUUACAGUCUGAUCAGAAUUCUCAGUGUAAUAAGCCAGGCCUAAGCCAUUUUAUAGCUAUUGGCCUAACUGUGUAACUUUUUUUUUCAAAAUGUUUUAUUAUAAUACUUGUCAUUUCUUUCACUUAAUAUAUGUUAAUUGUCAUAAUAAAAAGUUU